UACAGAGGUGGCAAGCGUUGUUCGGAAUUACUGGGCGUAAAGGGCGCGUAGGCGGUCUUGUAAGUCUUGUGUGAAAUCCCUCGGCUUAACUGAGGAACUGCACGGGAUACUGCGAGACUUGAGUUCGGGAGAGGGAAGCGGAAUUCCGGGUGUAGCGGUGAAAUGCGUAGAUAUCGUAAGGAAGACCAGUGGCGAAGGCGGGUCUCGUGGACAGUUCCUGACGCUGAGGCACGAAGGCCAGGGGAGCAAACGGG
rnacentral:rRNA from 1 species